UUCCUGGGCGGAGGCAGUCCCUUCUGGGCGGCCCAGGAUCCCGGCCCAGUUGACCUGCUUAGCUGCAGUCUCCCGCCCUCAAUCCGAAAGGGCGGACGUGGGGCGGGGGGAGGGUGUCUGGAGGAAGCGCGCGCGGGACUAGGCCGUGGGGCUGAGGCGGUUCUUGGGCGGAGCCCCGCCCUAGUCUCCGCCCUUGACGGGCCGGACCCGCCCUCCGAGAGCCGCACGGCAGCCCGCCACGGGAAAUCUGGGUUUGUUUGUUUUUUUACUGUAAAAUCUCCAGGUGUGGGCAACUGUAUCAGAUGUUUUAAAAGUGCAUAAGCUGAUUAAGCCAACACAAGCCCUGUCAGUUUGUAUGACCUCUGACUUGAAGGAAAGAGUGAAGAGAAGUUCCACGGCCAAAUCCUAGGCACCCCAGCAUUUAAGAUAGCGUAAUGGAGAAGGAGAUUUGAGAGGGAACAGCCAGGAAGACAGAAGGAAAUCCACUGAGUGUUAAAUUUGGAAUCCGAGGGCAGAGAAGGAUUCAGGGCUUGCAGGAUCUUACAGGAUCGAACCCAGACCCACAGGAGUGAAAGCGCUGAGUCUUAACCACUGGACUGCCAGGAAAUUCCCUUGUUUGACUUAAAUCAGGGUGAAAUUCAUGAAAGAAUAUAAGGAAACUGGGAGGUUUGACCCUGGAUAGGAACAGGAUGCUUCCACUGUGGAAAUUAGAGUAACAAGGGUGAAGAUGGAUGCAGAUGCAGGGGAGAGAAAUGGGUCCAGUGCCUUAUAAAGAAGCUUCAUAGAAAUCCCAGCCCCUGCCACCACAUGAGGACACAGCCAGAAGGCACCAGCUGUGAACCAAGAAAAGGGCCUUCACCAGAAUGUGACCAUGUUGGUGCUUUGACCUCAGAUUUUCCAGCCUCCAGAACUGUGAACAGUAAACAUCUGCUGUUUAUAAGCGCCCAGUUGGUGGUAUUUUGUUAUAGCAGCCUGAACAGACUAAGACAACUACUGUAUUUACACUGUAUCAACUAUCAUUACAACUAUACGACCUCUGAGGAAUCAAUUAGAAACCAGAAUGAGGUCCAGGUGGCCUUGCAGCCUGCUCUCUGCUCUCUGAAGACAAAGAUCCCAUGUGC
ensembl:lncRNA